CGAGCUUUCACACUGAAUUAAGCAUGUUCAGAUGGUGAACUAGGUCUUCUAUUACAAUUCUGAAUUAAAGCUGUCUAUAAAGCUUUGGUGUCUGUUUCUUCACUGCUGACUGCUUUCCCUUGUUCUGCAGCUGGUCUGUGGAAAGUCACCACUGAUACCUCUCCUAAUCAUCCACAAUCACAAAAAGUUAUUCCUGUUCCAGUAUCAUUCUCUUAAUGGGGCUCUGCCUCUGCUUUUGGUUUUUCAUGGCUUUAUUUAUUUAUUUAUUUAUUUAUUAUAUUCUGCCCAUGAAAGCAAAAGAGAAGAUACAAAGAAGAAUCAGCCAGGAGGUCUGCAGAGGUGUGUAUUCCUAAAUCAUCUUUUGGAAAAGUCCAGGUUUAGGUGAGGCAAAUACACAUUAAUCUAGUGAUUCCAAGCUCAUUUUGGCUCAGCUGGUGGUAUUUCUUUGAGUUAAAAAGAAAGUGUAAGGUGUUUCUUUUUUAGUUGCAGAUCCUAACAAGGAUGCUGUUUCAGUGUCUGGUCAAGCUAGAGUAAAAUAUGGCAGCUUAACUGGAGGUUCUGCUGUUAGAUGAUCCAGUUGCAAAAGGAGCUCACUGAGCUGGACAUGGGUAGAAAGUAGCCAUAUAACAAUAUGUAUUGUGACAUAAGCUUUCAUUUCUCACCACACUCUCCUCAAGGUCCUAACCCUAUUCACUGCUGGAAGUCUAAAUAUAUUCCUGCAAGAAUCAGGAUUAGUUGUACAAUUUGAGAUGCUGCUUCAGUGUGAGCAAUGCCUACAACCAGUGAUAAAGGGGGAAAAACACAUGGGGAAGGAGCUGAAGGCAAAUAAAAAAUAUUUUCAGGAAGCUGUGAAGAACUGGUUCCUACUGCUGCCACAGAUCUUUUUAUAUUAAAAAAAAAAAAAAUUAUCACUAACUCCUGUAUUUCAGCUUCCUUAUUGGUUUUUACAAUGAGGAAACCUGAGCUCAACAGGAAUACAUCUUAAAAACAGAGAAGUGUUAUAAAUAUAACUCAAAAAUCACAAAGGAAAAUAGUAUCCUAACAAUUCCAGGCUGGACACUGAGCAUGUGGGCACUUCUUGUAAUUUUGUCCAUAAUGUCUCUGUCUGUAAGUUCCCUACUUGGAAAAUAAGGGUUCUUUAUGGCAAGAGAAUGCAUCACCAUGUAAUAUGAGCACUGCUCCCAGCUCCAUUCAUCUGAAGCUGGGAAAAAGUUCUGAGGUUCCUCUUCCCCUUGAGAGAAAUCAAAGUUCAGGAAGCCUUUAGAGAUGUUAGGCUGCUCUUCCCUACUCUGCAGCCCUGAGACAGCCUCCAGCAACAUGCUACUUCAUUAUCCAGAAAAUCUGCACUGCACAUUAUUCCUACUGGACAACACAGGGAGUGUUUUUCUUGAGAAUCAAGGAGCAGCAGCACUCCUGCUGUGAAGGAGAAAGCAGACUGAUGAUUGAGAAAGUAUAUGACAGCAAAUUCAGAACAGGAGAAUUAAUCACAAAACAGAAACUUCCAUGACUUCUUUUUUUCCUUUCUUUC